rnacentral:rRNA from 1 species
UACAGAGGGUGCAAGCGUUGCUCGGAAUCAUUGGGCGUAAAGGGCAGGUAGGUGGUCUGAUUUGUCUGGAGGUGAAAGCCUUGGGCUUAACCCAAGAAGUGCCCCGGAAACGGUCAGACUUUGAGUCUUGGAGAGGGUUGCGGAAUUCCCGGUGUAGCGGUGAAAUGCGUAGAUAUCUGGAGGAACACCGGUGGCGAAGGCGGCAUCCUGGACCGAGAUUGACGCUGAGGCGCGAAAGCCAGGGGAGCAAACGGG